AUUGAACGCUGGCGGCAUGCCUUACACAUGCAAGUCGAACGGCAGCGGACCUUCGGGUGCCGGCGAGUGGCGAACGGGUGAGUAAUAUAUCGGAACGUACCUUUCAGUGGGGGAUAACGUAGCGAAAGUUACGCUAAUACCGCAUAUUCUGUGAGCAGGAAAGCAGGGGAUCGCAAGACCUUGCGCUGAUUGAGCGGCCGAUAUCAGAUUAGCUAGUUGGUGAGGUAAAGGCUCACCAAGGCGACGAUCUGUAGCGGGUCUGAGAGGAUGAUCCGCCACACUGGAACUGAGACACGGUCCAGACUCCUACGGGAGGCAGCAGUGGGGAAUUUUGGACAAUGGGCGCAAGCCUGAUCCAGCCAUGCCGCGUGAGUGAAGAAGGCCUCGGUUGUAAGACGUCUUUCAGUCGAGAAGAAAGGACUAGUGGUAAAGUAAUACACAGUUCAUGACGGUAGUCGACAGAAGAAGACACCGG
rnacentral:rRNA from 1 species